rnacentral:rRNA from 1 species
GACGAACGCUGGCGGCGUGCCUAAUACAUGCAAGUCGAGCGGACAGAUGGGAGCUUGCUCCCUGAUGUUAGCGGCGGACGGGUGAGUAACACGUGGGUAACCUGCCUGUAAGACUGGGAUAACUCCGGGAAACCGGGGCUAAUACCGGAUGCUUGUUUGAACCGCAUGGUUCAGACAUAAAAGGUGGCUUCGGCUACCACUUACAGAUGGACCCGCGGCGCAUUAGCUAGUUGGUGAGGUAACGGCUCACCAAGGCAACGAUGCGUAGCCGACCUGAGAGGGUGAUCGGCCACACUGGGACUGAGACACGGCCCAGACUCCUACGGGAGGCAGCAGUAGGGAAUCUUCCGCAAUGGACGAAAGUCUGACGGAGCAACGCCGCGUGAGUGAUGAAGGUUUUCGGAUCGUAAAGCUCUGUUGUUAGGGAAGAACAAGUGCCGUUCAAAUAGGGCGGCACCUUGACGGUACCUAACCAGAAAGCCACGGCUAACUACGUGCCAGCAGCCGCGGUAAUACGUAGGUGGCAAGCGUUGUCCGGAAUUAUUGGGCGUAAAGGGCUCGCAGGCGGUUUCUUAAGUCUGAUGUGAAAGCCCCCGGCUCAACCGGGGAGGGUCAUUGGAAACUGGGGAACUUGAGUGCAGAAGAGGAGA